ACCUCUGAAGUGCUAGGAUUAAUGGUGUA
rnacentral:piRNA from 1 species